AGACUUGGUCUCCCCACAGGUGGCAAAGAUUCAGGAGCAGAUGGCAUCUGUGCAAAUCCCAUAUCAGACACACACACACACAUCACAGGGAGAGAGAAAAACUGCCAAGAGUGUAAUGACUUGGCAAGCUCCUGGAGAAGACGUUCAGGGUGAGCAGGACUGUCCCUAAAGCUAAAGGAAGCUGAGAGAGCUUGGCUCUCCAUCUGCUGCUAUAAAGAAGAGAACUUUCAUUCCUCUCCUUGGCUGGACUGCAGAACAGCAUUGCACCAUCACUUCUGAUGGUUCAUGAACUUUGUGAUCACACCUUCUCAUCCUGACUGUGGUAGCCCUGUGCCGUGGUGACUGUUGCACACUGCAUUUCUGCCUGCCUGAAGGAUGUACACUACCCCCAGGCAAGAAUACUGGCUGAUCAAAUUUCCAUUGUCUCCAUGUCUGUGAUUGCACCCAGCUACAGCAGAAUUCAGGCAUUAACCACCUCUGCUGGCUCUGGUGGCUCCAAGGGAUUGUGAACCACUGCACAGCUCUCAGAAAAAUGGAAAUCCAAAAACUGGCAUUGGACUUCCAAAAGCAGAACUCUAACAUCAAUAAGGAUAAUAUGAGAAAAUGUUUUCUAUUACACAAAGGAUUAAUCUGGGAAUGACUUCAAGUAUGCUCCAUCCCAUGGACUGCUCUUUCCCCUGCUGCUUUGAUGGAUGUUAUCCCUGAUGCAUCCCAGGCUAGAGCCUUCACCGGGCCCCUUGAGAAGUCCUGAGGAAAUGUGUCUCCUAACACUCUGCUGCCUGCUCUGCUCAGUCCUGCCAGUGUCUUACUCUGCUGCUCUCCAGACCUUGGCUGAAGUCCAUACCUGAGUGUGUGUUACCCAGCAAAGAGAGAACUUGAGGUUAGCCUCAAAUCUACACAAUACUGCCUGUACAGGUGCACAUAAAUGGCAAAUAGAGUUGACAUUUCUCACAAGUCCCUGCCCAAAAUUUUUCCAAUUAGGGUAGUGAUGAAAACAGGGAAUGGUGGAUGCUCUGAGACAUUCAGUCUUGUAUUGGUGUGGUUUUUGCAAGAGCAGCAAGGGAAAGCCCAGAGGUAAGUGUCCUUCCUGCUUAUUUCUUUCAUGCAUUGCAGGAGUGAUCCCCAGCUCCUAAUAAAAUUCUUAACGUGAUUGACUUUAAAGAGCUGUGAGUCUCUGUGACUAACCACAGGGAAGAGUUGAACUAAAACUUUAAUGGCAAUAAUUUGAAGGGUUUUCUCAUGAAGAUCCAGGUAAAAGGAUCUUCAUCAGCCUAUGGGUCUGUAUAAUGCAUAUUUCUGAGAUGCAACAGCUUAGCUGGGAAACAUGAACUUCUAGAAUUUCUUUGUGAGACCCUCACAAAAACUUCACCAGCAUCUGUUUGCCCUUUUUUUGGGCUGGUUCUUAAGGCUUUACCCAUAACAUUCUUCAGUAACAGAUGCCAAGACAUCUCCUGAGUAUUUUUUGAAUAGGAACUUCCAUCUGGCACUGCAUCCUUAGAAGCUGCGCCUUGGCUUCUUUGUCUGCAGGGUGGUUAAUCCUAAUGAGGCAAGCACAGCAAUUUGCUGAGCAGAGAUAUAUGCUUAUCAGAUCCUAUUACUGAGCUGAUUCUCUUUUAUAAUUAUUUAUUCUGACUUCAGUAGAUGAAGCAAUGUGAAAACACUUAAACCCAGGGCUUUCAUCAGGAAGACACAAUCUCACACUCCUGUGAACAACUGAAAGCUGCCUAUAUGGAAAUGGCUAACUAUACUGGUAUAGCUGUCCCACUGUAUCCUGCCAGUCAAACUUCCCAUUCUCUUCUUAUCUCAAGAUAAAUGCUCUGAUUUAAAUUAUGUUGAGAUGAGCUCCAUAGAAAAGAAGUAUUUUUUUACAGGGACAGCAGUGUCCACAGAGGGAGAAUUUUACUGGCAUAGCUAAACUAGUAUAAUUAUACUGGCAUAAUUAUGCUGGUAAUUUUCCCUGUGUAUACAAGCUAUGAGUCUCAAAUUGUGCUUCACUGGCAGAAGAGCCUCCUUUGUUGGAGAGAUUCUUUAGGUCUGAAUCAGGUCAUUAAUAAGUGCUUCAGCACUCAAGUCAAUGCCUCACAUUUUAUAAUGAGUUUUACUCUUUGCCUCCCAGAGAAUCCCAGCUCUUGUAACAGACUCUACAUGAAACCUCAUUCUAUGCUGAGGGAAAGCCAGCACAGGGGAGAAGUGUAGCAGUUACUUCCCAUCAGCAUCAUCAGUGGUUACAAAGCCUCGUGGAGAGAGAGCUCACACACCAUGAAAUAGCAGCAGACUGCCAUAUGUGUGGCUUUGUUUCUUUGCCUUUCUAUUUCUUCUGUUUUAUAUUUCCUUGGCCUGUUUUUCUCCCUGCUAAUGAGAUUUCUAUUCAAAGGGGGACUCUGUGUAUGACUUGUAAUACAUAUGAAAACAAAAGCUGUACAUGAUGGUUUAUGAGAAGACAUGAAAGCUCAUAAAGUAGCCACGUGAAAUGGCUUAAGUAAUUUGAACAGAAAUAUCUUCAAUGACAAUGAGUCAUCAGGACCAAGAUGGGCUGCCUCAUGUGAAACAUAACCGUGUCAAGUGGAUGAGGCUGUAAUACAGCCACAGCUUUUGCUAAAUAUAGCCAGAUACGCUUAUCAGUUGAACUGGAAGUAUGCAGAACAGCAAAAUAAAUGGCUUAAACAACAACUAGACAAUAGAAAGCUAGACAAAUAUGGUAAUUAUAUUUUCUAUAAAUAGCAAAAUAAACUCACCAAUCAGUGGGUUUUCUUUAUUAGCAAUUUUUGUAGAAUUAAAUGAAUGAGAAAUUAUUAUAGGUUUUACAGAACUACAGAGAAAAUGAUUGGAGCUAAUUGAGAUCAGCCUCCUCUUAUACAGGACUACUGCCAACACCUCCUGUCAGCUGUGGCUUUGUCUAGGCAAGUUGUGAAAAUUCCUACGGAUGGUGAUUUUGCAGCAUCUCUGGGCACCUCCUCCACUGUUACCCUCCUAGUAAAGCUUUUCCUUAUGUCCAAACUGAACCUCCCCAGCCACAUCCUGUGACCAUUGCUCAUUAUUCACUUCAUUGUCUCCCCUUCAUCAAAUAAAACAGCUUCUUCCAUGUUAUGUCAUCUAUCUUCUGGACCAUUUUGGUAUCUUUCUGCUAGGUCUGCACAUCUCUCUUAACUUGGGAGUGGGAGCAUCCACAGUGGGACCCAGUAUUUCAGGUGUGCAGACAUGGAUUGCAAUUUGAUCUGCUGGACGCACUCCUGUUGCUGCUCAGGAUGUGGUUUUUCUUAUUUAUGGGGAGAUUUUUCUGUUGGCUCCUAUUCAGCCUGGUGCCUACCUGUCCCUUUCACCGGGCUUCUCCCCAGCAGCCAGUGUUCGAAUGCCUGGGGCUGCACUUCAGCCAAGUGCAGAACAUCACACUUCAUAGAUAUUCAUAA